CCUACGGGAGGCAGCAGUGGGGAAUUUUGGACAAUGGGCGCAAGCCUGAUCCAGCCAUGCCGCGUGCGGGAAGAAGGCCUUCGGGUUGUAAACCGCUUUUGUCAGGGAAGAAACGGCUCUUACUAAUAUUAGGAGCUAAUGACGGUACCUGAAGAAUAAGCACCGGCUAACUACGUGCCAGCAGCCGCGGUAAUU
rnacentral:rRNA from 1 species